AUGUAUGCUGGUGUCAAUCCCACCUCAGAGAUAAGGAAGUCUGACUUGCUCUGCAGCAGACCACCUGAAAAUGUUCUUCAAGCUGUCCACUUUGGCGGCGAUAUUCUCCUCACGGAGAGCUGCAACAGCAUUCAGGGCGCGCCAGAACAUCCUAGAGCCACGGGGUACGCCUAGACCUUCGGCGAAUGCCACCAUCGCCCGGAGGCGGUCUAUGUUGAUGGUGAGCAUCCUCGACCGAGCGGCGCACAGCUUGGCAAUAUCACAAGCACCUAG
rnacentral:rRNA from 1 species